rnacentral:rRNA from 1 species
AACGAACGCUGGCGGCAUGCCUAACACAUGCAAGUCGAACGAAGCCUUCGGGCUUAGUGGCGCACGGGUGCGUAACGCGUGGGAAUCUGCCCCUUGCUUCGGAAUAACAGUUAGAAAUGACUGCUAAUACCGGAUGAAGUCUUCGGACCAAAGAUUUAUCGGCAAGGGAUGAGCCCGCGUAGGAUUAGGUAGUUGGUGGGGUAAAGGCCUACCAAGCCGACGAUCCUUAGCUGGUCUGAGAGGAUGAUCAGCCACACUGGGACUGAGACACGGCCCAGACUCCUAGGGGAGGCAGCAGUGGGGAAUAUUGGAAAAUGGACGCAAGUCUGAUCCAGCAAUGCCGGGUGAGUGAUGAAGGCUUUAGGGUUGUAAAGCUUUUUUACCAGGGAUGAUAAUGACAGUACCUGGAGAAUAAGCCGCGGCUAACCCCGU